rnacentral:lncRNA from 1 species
UUUCAUAUUAUACAUUUUCAGCAGCGGGAUCAAGUUGAUAGAGUGCAGAUUCUGAAACACGCUUCUUGUACUUGGCAAUGAAAGCUUCAGCUUUCAUGUCAAUAUUGGGCUCAGCAACACCCCAGUUACCUUUGUCGUAAUCGCUAGGAUAGACUCUGCGCCACGAAUCAGGGGCAUCAGAGUACCCUCCUCUGGGCGUCCUUGAUGAGAAGAUGUUGAAAAUAGAGAAGAAACCCGAAGAAGACUUCUUAUGCCUAUUACCUGCCAUGAUUGUUGUGUUUUUUUUU